GCUACAGCGAGCGGCUGCCUGCUUACACUUCAGUCUCCUGUGUGAGCAUGUUGGCAGUUUGUACUUGGUGAGCCGUACAGCAAAGACCUCGACGGGAAGUGAAAGUGUCAAUCAUUGACAUAGAAUACAAGGGGCUGAAAAAAAAUGCUGGAAUUCUUCCCACACACAAUGAGAAAAGAUUUUACACCAUUCGUCCUUUGACUAUACUGAUCACUUCCCUGGUUGGGUCCAUUUCUGAAAGAUAUGACUUGCAUCUGGAAGGUUGCCUUCUGUCAUGUAAAUACUGCUUCAUGCAAUGUGAAAAUGCUUUAAGAGAUGACCGUAACUAGCUAGGCAAAUGUGUCUUUUUAACCUAAACACAUUUUUACACCGUCUGCCUACUGUGUCGCAUUGUGUACACAAAGAAUAAUGAUAGUUCAGCCUCUCUAUGAGGAGGCUUUUGAGAGAUGACUGGAAAAUGUGUUGAAAAAUGGAAUCCCAUUACUGUGGCUAAUCUGUCACUGUGCUCUUCAUCCCAGAUUAGUCACCCCCCCCACCCGGACCUGUACAGGAUAGGACCACGGGCUGCCCUGAACCUGUGUUGAUCAGCAUCCCCGAAAGCCAGCCGCCUUGGAUCUAUAGAAUGCAUAGUCAUUGGUCACCUCUAGUCUACAUGAACUUGAGUUAUUGAUUGGCUGACCUUGCAUAGCAGAGAGUUAGGGGACGCUGAAUGGCCGCAUACGCCACUUUUCAUCUACAGUGUGGGCCGCACUGUACAUUUGCACUCGAUCCUGCUGUCCAUUUUCAUGCUGUUGGAAUGCUGCACGUCAGUCAAAGGACAUUUUAAAGUGUGCUUCUGCCAGAAGGAAAUGAAUGCAAGUGAGGAAUAUUGCUUACACCUAUUGCACCUAUUUUUUAUAUGGCAUUGUAUGACCAUGUAAU